rnacentral:pre_miRNA from 1 species
UGCUGCUUUUCCACAAUAGCGCUAUUUCGGGACAUCAAACUCAGUCCCCACGGGGUUAUUUUGAGAGAAAACCAUUCCCUCAAAAUAACCCUUAAACCUAAUUUUUUGAGAAGUAAGGGUUAUUUCAAGGGAAGGGUUUUCUGUCAAAAUAACCCCGCGGGGACCCAGUUUGAUUGAGGUCCCGAAAUAGCGCUAUUGUGGAAAAGCAGCA